rnacentral:rRNA from 1 species
GAAAUCCUGGAGCUCAACUCCAGAACUGCCUUCGAUACUGGCGAUCUUGAGUCCGAGAGAGGUGAGUGGAACUCCUAGUGUAGAGGUGAAAUUCGUAGAUAUUGGGAAGAACACCGGUGGCGAAGGCGACUUACUGGUCCGAUACUGACGCUGAGGUACGAAAGCGUGGGGAGCAAACAGG